ensembl:lncRNA
UUUUCUGGAAGACAGUGUAUUUGAUGAAGUCAAAGGGAGUCUCAAGGGGAAGACUAUGAAGAAAGAGACAGAAGUGUUUUACUGCUGCAAACUUUUCUGUGAUAACUGCUGUUUUCAAAUGCCUGAAUUCUGCCAGCUGACCCAAUGGCUGCUGAAGUGAGAAAGGACAGUCCAGGGUGCUGGAUCCUUUGGUCCUUACGGAUUUCAUGGGACGGUGCAGGGAAAAAGCUGCUAAGUGGGCAGGAUCCUGUGGGAGUACAUCUGGUGAAAGAAGACUCCAUAUCUCCUCCCAUGUGUCCCUCUUCCUCGCAGCAGGACGUAGGGUGCUUGUCCAUAACGCAACCCACACAGCAGCUUGAGGACAGACACCCUGGUUAUUGCCAAGAGUUGGACUCCAGCAGCACCCCAGCAACAUCAGUGACUCCUCCUCCCGGACUUCUUUUUCAGCAGUCUAUUACGAGCUCUAUAGCUUUAAAAUUUCCAUCUCUGCUAUAUCUAUUUAGCUUGUUUGUUUUGAGGAAAGGGGAGAAAUAUAGGCAGCAUGAUCAUUUAAUCCUUGUUUCCAUAGCAAAUCUGGCUAAAAACAAUCCUAAAUUUGGCAUCUGACAACCUCUGAACAUCAACUGUAGCAAAAGACUAUCAAGUAAAAGACGGCAGGUGCCAACUUUAGUGUUGGCUUUCCAAAUGCUGAACAGCCCUCAUGAUUUCCUCCUGACUUUUCUCCCAUGAUGUGUAAAAGUUAGUGCAACCAAAAAAAUCUGUAUUUCUGCACUCCAGGAAUUGUGAUGCUCAGGCUGUUGUUUGCUUUUUCUGCUUUUUGACUCUAGAUAUACCGCUGUAUGAAAUGAAUACCAGUGAGGAUUGGCCUCUAUUCCUUGCUGCUGCUACCUGACCCCAGGCCUGUCAUUCCUCAUCCUAAUACCCCAGUUCAUAGUAACAUAAAAGCUGCAGCUCUCAAAUAUUUGUCAGGAGUAGCCACUGCUCCUUGACAUCCAGAGAACCAGAAAUCUUCUCUUACUGGAGACCCUGUCCUGUAAAUAACAGACUUUGGGUAGAAAUCAUGAUAAAAAGGUUCAUCUGCCACGAAGCCUAAAAGCUGCAUUUUGAAGAAGGUAGUAGCCUGAUGGUGGCCAGACAAAGCUGCUUUGUCGUUCAGCUGUCUGUGCAGUAAAUAUGGCUCAGUGUACACUAAUGCAUGGAGUAACAACUUUUGUUUCAGUACAGCACAGGGUGCAGACUCUUCCUCAACUCUUUUCUAGAGUCAUGCUUGUGAAGAACCACAUAGAAGCUGUGGUGCUGCCUUUCCACAUUUCACUUUUUCCUCAAAAUCAAAGAGGGAUUGUGCAGUUUCUAAUGCACAAGAACUUCUUCAAAAUUCCAGAGACUGAGAGCCAAAUGUCAAAGACGUAGUGCAGCCAGAUUAGGGAUGAGCUGUGCCCUGGCCCUCUUCUAUCUGAGAAAAUAACCAUAGCCUCUAAAGGCAAAGAGCUUGUACGGGUCUUACAAGUAGCAAGUCUGACUUUUCCAAAGAACUGUAGACUUCCUGGUUAAAUUUUAAAGCAUCAACUUGGCAAAAGUAACAAGUUGGAUUCCCAGCCGUUCCUCUCCUUGCUGAUGUUACUGCUGAACAACAGAUGCUAGCCAUGUUGUUCUUCCCUUUAGGAAAACACCUACUUCCUAAAGAGCCAUGUUUCUUUUAUGGGACGAAGUUCUGUAUGUCCUACAAAGAAAAUUAUUAUUUGGUAUUCAGAGACUAGCACAUGAAAAUCAAUCUGCUAUCUUCAGUCUAUUUACCUACAGUCAGUAGAAUUCAGACUUCAUUCAGAGGCUGUUGGAGUUCAUUGCAGCAUUUCUAUUGGCUUUGGUCUGCCUUAGACAAAAGACCUUACCAAAGAAAUGUAAGAGGCUUAUGUGCUAAAGCUAGGAUGAGGUGUGGUAGAUGAGGCGCCAGAUGUAUGUGAGCAUUUGUGGUCCCCAUGAUUCACGGUAAUUCACAGCAAUUACAUUCCCUUGUGUUUACUUCACUGAUGUUUAAAAGUAAUUGUAGGUAACAGUAAACAUCUUCUUUUGCAAUGGCAGCAGCUGAUAAAAUGUGAUGGCAUUUUAUUAAGUCAGUGAGAUUGUGUUUGUCUGUUGUGUGAAAUACAUAAGAACAUUAAC